AUUGUCAAGUGAUGUGGAAAGCAUCCCAAAGCUGGAGGCUGAUCUCCUGGAAAUGAAAAGGGAGAGGAAUCAAUUAGAACAAUUCUUAACUUAGAGCAAUAACAUGUUACAGAAAGUGAUGGAGUGUAUUGAUGGUAUCAUUCUUCCUGUUGAGCCUGCUUUUGAUGAACCAAUAGAAAAGUGAAGUAGCUUGCUGAUUAUGUCAGUGAAUGCCAAGAUGCCAAGGUACACAUAGAGCAAGAGUUGCAGCUAGUGAAGGAGAAGGCCAGUAUACUUGAAAUUAAAGUAGCUGAAUCCCAAGCCACUGUAAAAUCCCUUGAAUGAGAAUUAUCGUCUUCGAAUGACAGUGUUUCUCAACUUGCUGAAGAGAAAACAAAAUUAGAAUAUCAGAAGGGAAAAAUGGAGGAAGAGUUACAGAAAGUUAAAGAUAAAGUUGCCAAGGUCUUCAGUACCAACAAGUCACUCGAAGAUGCCUUAUUAGAAGCAGAAAAGAUAUUUCUAUUCUUUCCGUAGAGAAAGAGCAAGCUCAAGCUAGUAGAGUUGCUGCUGAAAGAGAGUUAGAGAGUUUUAAAGAUGAAGCAACCAGUCAAGCAAGCAAACUGGCAGAGGCUAGCAGGAUCAUAAAGGAUCUGGAAGAUAAACUAUAUCAGGUUGAGGGUACUAAGAAGUUACUUGAAGAUGUGUUAUCAGAAGCAGAAAAAAAUAUUUCUAUUCUUUCUUUAGAAAAAGAGCAAGCUCAAGCUAGCAGAGUAGCUGCAAAGAUAUCAAUUUAAGAGACGGAGGAUGCUACAAUUCAAUACUUAAAAUGGGUGUCAUUACCCCUCCAACGAAUAUGUUUUGUCUUAAGAACUUAAUCAACUGUCUCAUCUGCAAGAAGGGGCUGAAAAACUUAGAGAAUCAAAGAACCUUGGCUGGAGAAAAAGGUAGUGGAGCUAAUCUACAUCUAUAUUGUAUGAUUAC
rnacentral:sRNA from 1 species